GAGUGGAGAAAGAGAGAGAGGAGAGUGGAGAAAGAGAGAGUAAGGAGUGGAGAAAGACAGAAAGAGAGAGUAAGGAGUGGAGAAAGACAGAAAGAGAGAGUAAGGAGUGGAGAAAGAGAGAGUAAGGAGUGGAGAAAGACAGAAAGAGAUAAAGGAGUGGAGAAAGAGAGAGUAAGGAGUGGAGAAAGAGAGAGUAAGGAGUGGAGAAAGACAGAAAGAGAGAGUAAGGAGUGGAGAAAGAGAGAAAGAGAGAGUAAGGAGUGGAGAAAGACAGAAAGAGAGAGUAAGGAGUGGAGAAAGAGAGAGUAAGGAGAGGAGAAAGAGAGAGUAAGGAGAGGAGAAAGACAGAAAGAGAGAGUAAGGGGUGGAGAAAGACAGAAAGAGAGAGUAAGGAGUGGAGAAAGACAGAUAGAGAGAGAGAGUAAGGAGUGGAGAAAGACAGAAAGAGAGAGUAAGGAGUGGAGAAAGAGAGAGUAAGGAGUGGAGAAAGAGAGAAAGAGAGAAAGAGAGA
ensembl:lncRNA